rnacentral:lncRNA from 1 species
CUCAUUUUAAGACCUCAUAACAAUACUAUUAAGAUUUAAAUACUAUCAUACUCAGGGUUCCUAAUCCAUAUGGCUAGACAUGAAAUAAUUAUGCAUAAUUGAUACGAGUCAAACAACCAUCAUAGAUUUUGAUGAUUUCCUUGGAAGCUAACACAUAAGGACUCCAGCUUUUGUUAGCUCGAGGACAAAAGAGCAUGCAUGCGGAGACCAUUUUGGGCAUUCAAUAGAGAAAUAUCGUGUGUAGAAGGUUUCUUGAGAGCUUGUCUUGAUGAGUCAUUCGAUAAACCCAAGUGUUAAAGAAUAAUUAUGAAGUUCAAAAUGACAUAAGGUACUGCAUAAGUUGAAAUAUGAAGAGGAGUUUUAAAAUACUCUAUGACCGCCCCUUCCUUACGGGUAUGUUUGGUCAUUUCGUGUCAUUACUUUUACACUCCAUAGGAGCCCCAUUCAUUAAGGGUAAUUUGGUCAUUUUGUAUUUAUUUGUAAUAGACUAUAAGUAGAACAUUUUAAGGUUUAUUUCAUUAGGUUUUUUUGGAUGUGGAAAUAUAAAGAAACAUUGCAUCAUCUUUUUAUCUUAUAAGAGUAGACCACCCACAACUAGGCAAGACAAGUUUGGAUUUUACUUGUGUUGAAAUCUUGGCUUAGAAACAUUGGUACUUGGGGAGAUUGAUGUCUCUCUUGUGUCUACAUAAGAGUUUGGUGUUAGUUAUUACAGGAUUUAAGGGUCUUGACAUUUAAGACACGUCUCAGUUCUUAUGUUUUGUAUUUUGUUUAUGUCAAACUAACUAUCCUUUAUCUUAUUUCAUCUUGUAUGUUUGCAUCUUGUCUUCCUUAUCUCGAGUGUUUCUGUUGUUAUCGUGACUUGCCUUGAUCUUGCUCUUGGUAUUAUCUUGUUGUUGUGGGCUAUUUUAUGUUUUCGUAAUCGUAUUCAUAUUAUUUGGUAUCAGAACAAGGAUUGAUUUUGUUCCUAUGGAAUCAAUCUUGGUCUUGUUAACUUGAAAAUAAAAAAAAAGUAUUGAAAAAAUGAAAAUCAGAAAAAAAAAGAAAUUUUUUCCCGUUUUUGUGUUUUGAACAAAAUUAGAAACUUAGAUUUAGGAUUUUUUAGUGUGUUUUGAUUUUUCCUCGUGUUAGGUUCUUCCUCACUAACACUUAUAGAUUCUAAAUCUAACUUUUGAGCCAUUUUCGAGUUGUUUUUGAACUUUAAAUGUUGCUGUUUUUUGAGGAUUGGUGGCUUGAAAGAGGGUUUUUAAUAUUUAUUGUUGAGAUCGUGACUUAAAAAUGUCUUGUUGAUGUUGUUGUUGAAGUUUGUAUAUUGAAAAAUGUGUUGUUGAUAUGUGGGAUCCAACUUAAACCAUAGAACUCCAAGAUUCAAAAAGUUGUGUUCUUGGUGUUCUUUGUGUUCUUCACCAUCUUCAUCUUUUGUUGAAGAGAAAGUGGAUGUUAUACCUAAAAAGGUGAAGAAAGAGAGUAUGUUUUGUUGUUAGUCUUGAAAGAAU